UACGUAGGGUGCAAGCGUUAAUCGGAAUUACUGGGCGUAAAGCGUGCGCAGGCGGUUUUGUAAGUCUGUCGUGAAAGCCCUGGGCUCAACCUGGGAAUUGCGAUGGAGACUGCAAGGCUUGAAUCUGGCAGAGGGGGGUAGAAGUUCCACGUGUAGCAGUGAAAUGCGUAGAGAUGUGGAGGAACACCGAUGGCGAAGGCAGCCCCCUGGGUCAAGAUUGACGCUCAUGCACGAAAGCGUGGGGAGCAAACAGG
rnacentral:rRNA from 1 species